ACCCCCUCCACACGUUUCUAAUCAUCUCACCCUUUUCCCCAUCAACACAUAUUAACGCAGGUGCACUCCACAUAAGUAUAUACAGAUUAACGCAGGUACACUCAACACAGGUAUAUACAGAGUAACACAGGUACACUCAACACAGAUUAACGCGAGGUGCACGCAACAACAGUAUUACAGCUUACCACAUACACUCAACAAGUUAUACAGAUUAACACAACGUACCGCCCCAGCACCCAGGUAUUACACUUAACACAGGUACACUCAACACAGGUAUAUACAGAUUAACACAGGUCACUCAACAGCAGAUUAACGCAGGGCACUCAACAUAAGUAUAUGCAGAUUUUAAAAAAAAUAAGAUGUGUC
rnacentral:lncRNA from 1 species